GCCCAGGUGGUGAAAUUGGUAGACACGCACGCUUGAGGGGCGUGUGGCCGAAAGGCUGUGCUGGUUCGAGUCCAGUCCUGGGCA
rnacentral:tRNA from 1 species